AGAGUUUGAUCAUGGCUCAGGAUGAGCGUUGGCGGCGUGCCUAAUACAUGCAAGUCGAACGGAGAUUGUAGCAAUACGGUCUCAGUGGCGAACGGGUGAGUAACGCGUUGGUGACCUGCCCCGAAGUGUGGAAUAACAGAUCGAAAGAGCUGCUAAUACCGCAUAAUAUCCAGAGGACUAGAUGCCUUUGGAUUAAAGGAUUUAUUCGCUUCGGGAGGGGCCUGCGUCCCAUCAGCUAGUUGGUAAGGUAAAGGCUUACCAAGGCUAUGACGGGUAGGGGACCUGAGAGGGUGGCCCCCCACAAUGGAACUGAAACACGGUCCAUACACCUACGGGUGGCAGCAGUAGGGAAUAUUAGUAAUGGGCGAAAGCCUGAACUAGCAACGCCGCGUGUGCGAAGAAGGCCUUCGGGUUGUAAAGCACUUUUUGAGAGGAUGAGGAAGGACGGUACUCUCAGAAUAAGUCUCGGCUAACUACGUGCCAGCAGCCGCGGUAACACGUAGGAGGCGAACGUUAUCCGGAUUUACUGGGCGUAAAGCGCGUGUAGGUGGUUUGGUAAGUAGGGCGUGAAAGCUCCUGGCUCAACUGGGAGAGGCCGUUCUAAACUGCCGAACUAGAGGAUGGUAGAGGGAGGUGGAAUUCCGGGUGUAGCGGUGGAAUGCGCAGAUAUCCGGAGGAACACCAGUGGCGAAAGCGGCCUCCUGGACCACUCCUGACACUCAGACGCGAAAGCUAGGGUAGCAAACGGGAUUAGAGACCCCGGUAGUCCUAGCCCUAAACGAUGUAGACUUGGCGUCGGUGGUUUAAACGCCAUCGGUGUCGAAGCUAACGCGAUAAGUCUACCGCCUGGGGACUACGGCCGCAAGGUUAAAACUUAAAUGAAUUGACGG
rnacentral:rRNA from 1 species